UACAGAGGUCCCAAGCGUUGUUCGGAUUCAUUGGGCGUAAAGGGCGCGUAGGCGGCUCUGUUAGUCAGGCGUGAAAGCCCUGGGCUCAACCUGGGGACUGCGCUUGAUACGGCAGGGCUUGAGGGCAGAAGAGGCUCGCGGAAUUCCCAGUGUAGAGGUGAAAUUCGUAGAUAUUGGGAAGAACACCGGUGGCGAAGGCGGCUAUCUGGACCGACAUUGACGCUGAGGCGCGAAAGCGUGGGGAGCAAACGGG
rnacentral:rRNA from 1 species